AACCCAUACUGAAGACAUUUCUGCAGGAGAUCCUUGAACCUAUCCCAUGUCUCAAAAAGAGACUCCAAUUCCAUUUGCACGAAAGAGGAUAUUUCAUUAGUGAGCUU